rnacentral:rRNA from 1 species
UACGUAGGGUGCAAGCGUUUAAUCGGAAUUACUGGGCGUAAAGCGUGCGCAGGCGGUUUUGUAAGUCUGUCGUGAAAUCCCCGGGCUCAACCUGGGAAUUGCGAUGGAGACUGCAAGGCUAGAAUCUGGCAGAGGGGGGUAGAAUUCCACGUGUGAGCAGUGAAAUGCGUAGAGAUGUGGAGGAACACCGAUGGCGAAGGCAGCCCCCUGGGUCAAGAUUGACGCUCAUGCACGAAAGCGUGGGGAGCAAACAGG